rnacentral:rRNA from 1 species
UACGAAGGGGGGCUAGCGUUGUUCGGAUUUACUGGGCGUAAAGCGCACGUAGGCGGAUCGUUAAGUCGGGGGUGAAAUCCUGGAGCUCAACUCCAGAACUGCCUUUGAUACUGGGUAUCUCGAGUCCGGAAGAGGUGAGUGGAAUUCCGAGUGUAGAGGUGAAAUUCGUAGAUAUUCGGAGGAACACCAGUGGCGAAGGCGGCUCACUGGUCCGGUACUGACGCUGAGGUGCGAAAGCGUGGGGAGCAAACAGG